ensembl:misc_RNA 7SK 7SK RNA
GGAUGUGAGGGCUAUCUGGCUGCGACACCUGUCACCCCAUUGAUUGCCAGGGUUGAUACUGACUCAUCUGGCUGGCUGGGCGGGUGUCCCCUUCCUCCCUCACCACUCCACGUGCGUUCCUCCCGAAGCUGCGGGAGGACGACCAUCCCCGCUAGAGACGGCUAGAGGCCAGUCUUCGGUCAAGGGUAUACGAGUAGCUGCGCUCCCCUGCUAGAACCUCCAAACAAGCUCUCAAAAUAGUAGCCAGUAUAGCUAUGUAGAGAGUACAGGGGAGAUACCGAAUGUGAGUUCUAAGGAAAACAUUGUAAAUCUUCUACCAAACUGGAAACAGUGGUGACAAGGAAAUGAGGGGAUUUAGAGAU